rnacentral:rRNA from 1 species
GAUGAACGCUGGCGGCGUGCCUAAUACAUGCAAGUCGAGCGAACAGACGAGGAGCUUGCUUCUCUGACGUUAGCGGCGGACGGGUGAGUAACACGUGGAUAACCUACCUAUAAGACUGGGAUAACUUCGGGAAACCGGAGCUAAUACCGGAUGAUAUUUUGAACCGCAUGGUUCAAUAGUGAAAGACGGUUUUGCUGUCACUUAUAGAUGGAUCCGCGCUGCAUUAGCUAGUUGGUAAGGUAACGGCUUACCAAGGCAACGAUGCCUAGCCGACCUGAGAGGGUGAUCGGCCACACUGGAACGGAGACACGGUCCAGACUCCUACGGGAGGCAGCAGUAGGGAAUCUUCCGCAAUGGGCGAAAGCCUGACGGAGCAACGCCGCGUGAGUGAUGAAGGUCUUCGGAUCGUAAAACUCUGUUAUUAGGGAAGAACAGAUGUGUAAGUAACUGUGCACAUCUUGACGGUACCUAAUCAGAAAGCCACGGCUAACUACGUG